rnacentral:lncRNA from 1 species
GGAAGGGAGACAUUAUCAUGGCUACAGAUACAAUCUGCCACAUGAAGCAGCAAUAAUGUCUAUAAAGUAUCUUCCUUAUGUAAUCUCUACUCCUAACACAGAGCUUGAACUCACAACCCCAAGAACAAGUCAGGCGCUCCACCGACUGAGCCAGUCAGGAUCCCCCAUAGCACUUGUCUUUUACAGAGGCCUUGAGAUAUCAACAAA